rnacentral:rRNA from 1 species
GACGAACGCUGGCGGCGUGCCUAAUACAUGCAAGUCGAACGCACUCUCGUUUAGAUUGAAGGAGCUUGCUCCUGAUUGAUAAACAUUUGAGUGAGUGGCGGACGGGUGAGUAACACGUGGGUAACCUGCCCUAAAGUGGGGGAUAACAUUUGGAAACAGAUGCUAAUACCGCAUAGAACCUAACACCGCAUGGUGUAGGGUUGAAAGAUGGUUUCGGCUAUCACUUUAGGAUGGACCCGCGGUGCAUUAGUUAGUUGGUGAGGUAAAGGCUCACCAAGACCGUGAUGCAUAGCCGACCUGAGAGGGUAAUCGGCCACACUGGGACUGAGACACGGCCCAGACUCCUACGGGAGGCAGCAGUAGGGAAUCUUCCACAAUGGACGAAAGUCUGAUGGAGCAACGCCGCGUGAGUGAAGAAGGUUUCGGAUCGUAAAACUACUGUUGUUGGUAGAAGAA